rnacentral:rRNA from 1 species
CGGGACGGGGUGGAGUAAUGUCUGGGAAACGUGCCUGAUGGAGGGGGGUAACUACUGGAAACGGUAGCUAAUACCGCAUAACGUCGCAAGACCAAGAGGGGGACCGUUCGGGCCUCUUGCCAUCGGAUGUGCCCAGAUGGGAUUAGCUAGUAGGUGGGGUAACGGCUCACCUAGGCGACGAUCCCUAGCUGGUCUGAGAGGAUGACCAGCCACACUGGAACUGAGACACGGUCCAG